GGGGAUGUAGCUCAACGGUAGAGCUCACAGGAACUAUCAGACGAUGGUGAGUAGUAAGGUGGACUGUCCUAACAGGGUGGAACUUGCACGCUCCCAUUGUUUGGUUUCGAAUUGUGGUAUUGAGCUGGUUCGACUCCAGCCAUCUCCA